CCUACGGUGAGCAGCAGUGGGGAAUAUUGGGCAAUGGGCGCAAGCCUGACCCAGCAACGCCGCGUGAAGGAAGAAGGCUUUCGGGUUGUAAACUUCUUUUAAGGGGGACGAACAAAGGACGGUACCCCUUGAAUAAGACACGGCGAACUACGUGCCAGCAGCCGCGGUAAUACGUAGGUGGCAAGCGUUAUCCGGAUUUAUUGGGGUUAAAGGGCGUGUAGGCGGGAGCGCAAGUCAGAUGUGAAAACUCAGGGCUCAACCCUGAGCCUGCAUGUGAAACUGUGUUUCUUGAGUGCUGGAGCGGCAAGCGGAAUUCCGUGUGUAGCGGUGAAAUGCGUAGAUAUACCGAGGAACACCAGUGGCGAAGGCGGAUUGCUGGACAGUAACUGACGCUGAGGCGCGAAAGCGUGGGGAGCAAACAGGAUUAGAUACCCCUGUAGUC
rnacentral:rRNA from 1 species